rnacentral:tRNA from 1 species
GAGGGUAUAGCUUAGUGGUAGAGCACAUGCUUAGCAUGCAGGAGGUCAUGGGUUCAAUCCCCAGUACGUCCA